GAGGGAAUUCAUCCAUUGGAGGGGUCUGGUUGGCACUAUUGAAGUCCGAUUGGUGCUGUUGAAGGUUGAUGGCUAAAGAGGUAUGAAAGACACUGGAGAUAAUCGAUCACUGAAGGAAUCUGGCUAUUGGAGUCCAUCCAUUGUAGAAGUUCAUCUGGAAUCCAUCCACUGUAGAAGUUCGGACGGAGUCCGAUUCUUGCAGAAGUUUGGAAGGAGGCCGCUUACUGUAAAAGCUCGGAUGG
rnacentral:lncRNA from 1 species